CCGUCCUUCUUUCCAACACCUUCCGGGUCAUAGGCGCCGAGGUGCCCUCUGGGUAACCAUCUCAUUUCCUCCCCUCCCCCUCCUUCUGCCCUCGACCAACCAGCCUCCCGUCAGGGAGGGACAUGCGCAGUGAGAACCUCCCAUCUCUUCUAACAGAACCCCCCUCCCCCCCAAACCAGAGAGACCCCAGCAGCAGCAGCAGCUGAUGAUGAAGAGAGAGGCAGAGGCUAAGGGGGGGCACCUUUUAUUUCUAUUUUUAAAGGGACAGAACACUCAUUUUACCCCACUUCAACCUUGAAUUGCGAAGGGGGGAGGCGAUUGAGUUCCUUCCCCCACCCUCCACCCCUGAGCUCAGAGAGGGGAAUUGAGCCUGAGAGAAGGAGUUUCUUCUUCUUCUUCUAACCCCCCCUUACCACUCCUGCCCCCCUCCUUCUCUCUCCUCAACCCCCUCCACCCCCUCUCUCUUUGGCCGUGAGAGGAGGAGAGAAAGAGACCAAAAGCCUCUUAGCAACACAGCCCCUUCUCUGCUGCUGCUGCUGCUGCUGCUAAAGCUGCUGCUAAAGCUGCUGCUGCUGCUGCUGCUAAAGCUGCUGCUGCUGCUAAAGCUGCUGCUGCUAUUGCUGCUCCUGCUGCUGCUGUUGCUUGGCCCUGGCUGGAGACAUCUCACUACACCCAGGAGCAGCCACUUCCCCCAGCUCUCCUCCUCUCCUGCUUCUCCUCCUCCUCCUUCUCCUCCUCCUCCUUCUCCUCUCCUCCUCCUCCUCCUCCUCCUCCUCUCCUCCUCUUCCACUCCCCCCCUUUAUUACCCUUUGUGUCAUCCUCCACAGCUCCAGGGAAGGGACUCAAAAGUGGGGGGCAGGAAAGACUUUUUGAAAAAUAAAGAAUCAUAUUGGAGAAUGAAGAUUAGAAAUGAACCAUGAAAAACAUAAAAACAGCUUGAAAGAUUUUUUAUCAUCCCAGUUUUGAAGUCUGAAGAUAAUGUGCUUGGGAACUCACAGAGAAUGUUACUUCUUGGGUAUAUGAAGCAGAUGUGGAAACUUUUAUUGUUUAUAAACAAAAACUCUCAAAUUUAGCCAGCCAAGAUACCAGUUUUGUGAACCUAUUCACUGAUGUUUCAAAAUGACACGGGAUAGAUAUUUCAUCCUCAAGUUUAUUUUAUCUAAUACUAUUAAAUGAUCUACAAAAUGUAUUGAGGGUAUCCUUGAUCAAAAUUUGGAACCAGAAGUUGUUCAAAAUAGUUUUUACAUUUCACCAUAUCAUCACAUUCUAAGCAAAAUUUCAGGUUAUAGAAUUUGUUUGUUUCUGUUGUUCAUUUGAAACUAAUAUUGUAUUUGUUUGAGCAAAAUGGAUUAAAAGUUCUUCUCCAUAACUUUGUCACCCUUGAGUAUGCUGAACAUAUAUAGAAUUCCUUCAUAGUUGCAGUAACAAAAAUAAUUUAGAAGAUAUAUGUUACAAAAAUAUGUUUUCUUAAUUGAGGUCAUAUAGAAGAAUUCCCUAUAUCCAGGUCCUCUGUUAGAUUCUGUUUAUAUAUCAAGGGUUCUCAACUUUUUCUGUGUCAUGAACCUCAUUUAACAGUCCAGUGAAGUUUAUGGACCCCUUUUCUGAAUAAUGUUUUGUUGGAAAUGCUAAAUAUGAGUUAAAGGUUACUGAAAAUAACAAUGUAAUUUUUUAUCAUGAAAGUUCAUGGACCUUUCCUCCCCCAAUUUAUCUUAUUAGAUAUGAUAUUAUGUCCAUUCUGUCAACCCCAGAACAUUAUAUAUCAAUAAUAAUGCAGAAAAUUUUAGUCUAGCAAAAUGCAUGAGAAAAACUACAUAGAUGAAAAAUAGUGGCACCCGAGGAGAAUGGCAAGUGCAUUGUGGUCUUAUGUGGGCUACAGAUUAUUACCAGUUUUUACUCGAGCAAUGAAAUAAAAUUUAUCAUUCAGAAAGCAUUGCUAGUUAAACAAAAAUGAAAGACAAUUGUUGGUUCGCCCAUAUUUGGUGUGUAUUUGUAUUUGUAUAGAUAUAACUGUACAUAUACACACACACAUGCUUCCAGUUAAAAUAGCUUCCUAAAACAUGUAGAGGAGCCCAGCUGUCUGACAUAUACUUCAGUCAAAUAUAGCCAAAAAUGAUGAGCACUGUUUAAGAUAGCAGCCAGAAAUCCAUCAGUCCUCAGAGAAAGGGAGAAAAAAAAUCAGCCUGAGUUGUAAUUAACAGCUACAUGCUUAUAGGUACUCUUAAGUAGAACAAGCCAGUUAACUUCAAACUAAUUCAAAAUAUUAGAACCAGAACCAUCUUGGAUCCCUCUGAAGCAGGAACAAUAUCUCUAAGGAAUAUCAAUGCAAAAAGAUUAAAUGAAAUGUUAGCAAAGAGGCUGUAGAAACAUUUUUAAAAUGUUACUUUAUGAUCAGGUUGGAUUUAUAGGUAGGAUACAAGGUUGGUUCAAUAUUAAUGUAAAAACUAUGCCUGUAACAUAUCAUAUUAAUAACAAAACAAUAAAAAUCCCAUUAUAUCAAUGGAAACAUAAGAGGCUUUGAACAAAAUUCCACAUCCUUUCGUGUUUUUUGAAUAAAAUUUUACUGAUACCUUUUGUUUUGUAUGCCACUAAUAUUUUCCACUGUACCUCUCUUCACUUUCCCAGGAAACCAUCUCUUAUAAUCGUUAUAUAUAUAAAUGCCUAGAUAGAUAGAUAGAUAGAUGGAUGU